rnacentral:rRNA from 1 species
GACAGAGGGUGCAAACGUUGUUCGGAAUUACUGGGCGUAAAGCGCGUGUAGGCUGCUUCGCAAGUCGGGUGUGAAAGCCCUGGGCUCAACCUAGGAAGUGCACUCGAAACUGCGAAGCUUGAGUCCUGGAGAGGAAGGCGGAAUUCUCGGUGUAGAGGUGAAAUUCGUAGAUAUUCGGAAGAACACCAGUGGCGAAGGCGACUUACUGGACACAUAUUGACGCUGAGGUGCGAAAGCGUGGGGAGCAAACAGG